CGAGCGGCAGCGACAACAUUGACCCUUCGGGUGAUUUGUUGGGCGGCGAGCGGCGGACGGGUGAGUAAUGCUUAGGAAUUUGCCCAGUCGAGGGGGACAACAGUUGGAAACGACUGCUAAUACCGCAUACGCCCUACGGGGGAAAGCAGGGGCUCUUCGGACCUUGCGCGAUUGGAUAAGCCUAAGUGAGAUUAGCUAGUUGGUGAGGUAAUGGCUCACCAAGGCGACGAUCUCUAGCUGGUUUGAGAGGAUGAUCAGCCACACUGGGACUGAGACACGGCCCAGACUCCUACGGGAGGCAGCAGUGGGGAAUAUUGCACAAUGGGCGAAAGCCUGAUGCAGCCAUGCCGCGUGUGUGAAGAAGGCCUUCGGGUUGUAAAGCACUUUCAGCGAGGAGGAAAGGUUGACGGUUAAUACCCGUCAGCUGUGACGUUACUCGCAGAAAAAGCACCGGCUAACUCCGUGCCAGCAGCCGCGGUUAUACGGAGGGUGCGAGCGUUAAUCGGAAUUACUGGGGCGUAGUGCGCAUGCAGGCGGAUCAAUUCUGUCAUAUGUGAAAGCCCCGGGCUCACCCUGGGAAUUGAUUUAAAUACUGCUUGGUUAGAAGUCCUUGAAAGGGGGGUAAAAUUUCA
rnacentral:rRNA from 1 species